CACAAAAAUGGAAAAAGAGAACGCGUUUGUCACUUUGUCUUUUUUCCAGUAAUACCUCUAACGCGGUGAUAGACUGUUUAUUUGAUGGACACUCGAUAUUACUAGCUCGCGGGGCCGUCUUUACUAACCCUAGAAAAUCGAUUUGUCUAUCUCCAAAAUCCAAAUCGCUCCGAUGCCUUUGAUGUUCAGAUCUUCCGAUGCUCCUGUCGCAGAUGACUUUCGCCCUUCUCUACAACGACCCUUCAUAUUCCCUCCUUUCUCAAAUCUAAAUUUUUACACAUAGAAAUCAAAUAUUUUGGUGGGUGUUUAGUGUGAUAAGGGCGAGUCAUCUGUGACAGGAUGAAGGAAAAUCUAGUUAUCAGAGGCUUAUUGGGGCGUUUUCAUCCAAAAUCUCCAACUCUAGUAGAGUAUUCUUCAAAGCACCACUGGAGUGUCUCAAGCAGGACUUGAGAGAAAGAUAAUAGUUACACAAUCAGAAUAUCUAUCUCCAAAGGAAAAGAGGAGAGUUAUGAAAAAUCAGAAUAUCUCCUUUCCCUUUUUCAGGAGCCAAUGCAUCCUUUGCAGCUGCUUCCAGCAACAUGUCUCAUUUUGGUUGAGUAUGAAGUUAAUUAUCCAUCAUUUGAUUCAUGUUUAGCUGUGGCUAAUAGUGGAAAUUUCAGAAAAUGGCGAGUUGCAAUUCUCGUCUGUACUUUUGAUUUUUUUCAUCAUGUAUUUACAUACAGGGCAUGUUAGCAACUCUCUGAAGUCCAGGUUGUUUUAUUCCUCUGUGGUGUGUGAUAUUACUCUCGCUUUCUUA